UUGUCAUAAUUUAGUCCUGUUUUAUUUAUGAGACGUAGGCCUAAUAAACUACCCCGGAUAACUAUAUCGGCCUAUGAAACUAAUGACUACAUGUAUAAUAGCCUAUAUGAAUAUGUAUAGGCCUAUUUUCUCAUUAUUUGAGCCAUUCGCACGUUAGUAAUUUUACCGGAAUUCCAAUAUAGUACUCAGUCAAUUGAAUCAUGCGUAAGCGAGGCGCACGUGGGUACAAUAAACCAAUGUGUAACAGGUGGUGGAUGUGAGAGCCGGGGCUAGAUGAUAGUGGAAGAACUCCGGAAAGAACGCCGGACCGGACAUCUACUGGACUGGACAGUGAUGACAAAGAUCAAAUCAGAAAUUCAUCAGAAAGUCAUGAAAUGAGAGCAAUAUAGAACUUCAAGAGAAACAGAACGAGGUAUCAAUCAUUUAUAUGGCUGGAUCAUGAGAAGAAAAGCGGGAGAUUCAUCAAGCUCAUCCCCUGGAUUCAUCGGCGUGGAAAUUGACGCGACUCUGACAUGACACAAUACAGGUAACAUCACAACCCGGCUGUGACAAUCAGAUAGCUAGCAGUAUUGACAAACCUCAAGAGAUAAGUCUCGUACAUUAUUACCGUUCUGUCGAUAGUAAAUACUGAUAGCGGGCCCCUUGAAUGGUUCAUUAUGGCAGGCACUGAUGGUAUCAUGGUGCUGAUAAUGUAAUGAUCAUUGCUAAUUAAAUUGGAUGUCCCUGGCUCAGACAAGCCCUCUUUUUCUGCCUACAGACGCCCGCCGGUAUCUCCACCAUGAAUCUCUCCGUGAGAACGGCGAGAUAAAGCCUGCCGCAUGUCAUUAACGGCAUGCGAUGCGGAUCUAGAGGGAUUAAGCGGCACUGUUUCUGUCUUCCUCAGGAAGCGUCGAGUAUCACCUGGUAUGAUAAGAUUCACGGUCUGCGAUUCUAAUGAGAAGUGGGUGGCUUGUUUUGUACAUUAAUGGUUUCACAGGUGUGAGGCAUAUAUACACUUUAGAAAUCUUAGUUCACUUCUCAUCUAUGAUACACAUCUUCACCUAUGUUGUCACAGCACUGAUGCAUCUUAGCCAUCAUUUUGUCUCUCUCCUUUGAUGUGGAAAGACCGGAAUCAACAUCAUUCAAACAGCAGCUGCACCUCUUUAAUAAGGUGUGUUAACCUAAAACUUUCUGGAUUUGGAUGUUUCUGAGAAAGACAAACAGGGAAGACAUAGACUACUGCACUUUCUCUUCCAACUAGCACAGGGACGGCACAAAAUUUACAGAUCAAAGAUAAAAGCAUUUUGAAGGACUAUUAUGGUAUCAUGCUCGGUGUCCGUCCGUCUGUCUGUCCGUUGGUUAACUUUUCCUUGUAAACAGGUAAAUGCGAUAACUUCAGUUUAACUUCACCUAAGCUCAUAUAAUUUGGUGUGUAUGAUACUAGCAUAGAUCCCAGGAAGCCUAUAGAUUUUGAGUUCAAAAGGUUAAAGGUCAAGGUGACAGUGACAUGUUUUCAUCUUACCCUUCUGAAGAUACUAGCAUAGAUCCCAGGAAGCCUAUAGAGUUUGAGGUCAGAAGGUCAAAGGUGAAGUCGUCACCUUCCACUUUCUUGCUUCAUUGACCAAUUACUCCAUUUUCCGCGUUACAGGCGGGCUUAUUAUUUGCUUGCCUUAGCGACACUCUUGUUUUACAAAGCAGGUUAUGUACAUGUACAUAUCACUUUAUUCAAAAUGUAAAAUUUCAAUCUGAUUCAUAUUCUAAUUAUUAUCACUUUUUUUGCCUUUUCCCAUUUAAAGUUUUGCCUAAAAUGGCCCUUUGGAUCAGACAUCAGGGUAAAAGAACAUAUUUCUGCCACCUUGUUUUUUUAUAUGGGGUUGAAUUGAUUUGAUAAAUAAGGUUAUAAAAGUGAUCCUUUUUACCAAUGAAGACAACUAACAGUUAGGUCCUGCAUGAAUGAGAGAAAAGGGGGAAUCAAUAGAGUGGAAUGAAUGGAGUGAAAUUUAAAAAAGAAUGCAUGAAAUACUCUACUGAUGAAGAAGUCUGGAUUGAUAAAAGAAGAUCAACACAAUAUAGAGCUUGGUAGACCAUGUUUAGUCUAGGUUUGAUAAUGCUCAUGAUCUUCAUUAUAGAUCCAAAUACUAUGAAUGAAGUCUAGUAUAACUAUCAAUGCUCCUGUGCAGAUGGUAUCUAUGUUGGAUAUAGUGUUAUCACACUGUGCCAUGUUCAUAUGAUUAUAGAAAGAAAGGACUCAUUUUCCCUGCCAGGUCCACUGACUGACCAAAUCUGACGAUAUACAGAGGUGCUCAAAGGUUAGUGAACCCCACUCGAAAAAUGAACAUAUUUUAGAGUCUUCAAGUUCUGCCAUGUUUUAGAUAUUUAAUUGUGAUUUCCGGUGAUAAAAUAUUACAUUAAAUCAAUUUUGUUUCUAUGGGCUCACAGAACAUUGUUAAGAUGUUGUUCACACUCAGCAUGAAGUGCAUUUUGUGAACGGGGUCAGUAACUUUUGAGCACAACUGUAUAUGUUCUAAAAAGAGUAGAUAGUUGAUAUUUUGAUAAAAAUGAUUACAUUUCAGUAGUCAGCUUUUGCAAAAUGUAUCAUAUUUUGGAAUUUGAAUGGAAAUCGUAGGAAAAUGUGUAUGGUAUUCAUGCUUAUGUUAGAUUGAGGCAGUAAGAACAAAAACGUGAAUUAUUUGCUCAAUAUCGUCUAUUAUCAAUCUUUUUUUUUUGGGGGGGGGGGGUAUAAUUAUUACAGCAUUAGAAUUUUUCAAAAUUAGUAUGAAAAAAAACCCAUAAAGAUAUAUUAAUGAAAAAAGGACAAAAAAAAAAAAGUUAUAGUGAUUCUAAAAGUAAUGCAGAAAAAAAACUGACAUAAACAUCUUAACUCUACAACAAAAAGAGCGAGGAAUAGCCAAUCAACAAUGGUGUACGUUGCUAGGGGUGGAGCUUAGUAUGAGGCGAAAUUCAAUCAAGUCGAGCGUGCCAAGUAUCAGAUAUUUUCGAACUGACCAAAAAAAAAACACUCACAGAAAAACUUUUUUAUCACUUUCCUGUCAUCAAUUUCACUCAUUUUUUUCACAGAGUAAUUAUGAAAUGUGGAAGAAUCAGAAAUUAAAAAAAAAAAUCUUCAAUAUUUUGACUUUUUUAUUUGUUUGUCAAAUUCCGAGGAACUUUGAUUUGCGACUUGUCUCUCAUUUUGGUAUGAUCGAUCACAUAUACUCGUCUCUUGUCUUAUUAAUCAAGAGCAACAAGUAUGUACAUGUGGGAUCAAGUCCCAGCCUUGGCAUAAUUUCCUUCAAGAAAUUUGUCCACAUUGUUCUGCACUCAACCCAGGUGAGGUAAAUGGGUACCAGGCAAGACUUUAUUCCUCGAAAUGCUACCACGCUGUAAAAGGCUGCGGGGCUAAAACCAGGGUAAUAAUAUCCUAUUGAGUGCAUAGGGACACAUUUGGCAGUGAUAUGCACAAUAUAAUUAAUAUGUUGAUAAUAUUAUCAUUAUAAUUAAAUACAGGAUCAAUUCAGUCCCCCAAGCAAUGAUUAAAAAUGUCUCUGGUUUCAAAAGAGUGAUCUGUGAACCACGGGCUUCCAAAGCUUUCCAAAGCAUUCUUGAAAAUGAGAAAUUGUAACUUUUAGUUUUAGUGUUGACAGGCUGGUGGUGUGUGUGUGUGAUUAAAAGUUUUGUGUAGACAGAUGAUGUUGGUGUUUGGCCAAUUUUCACACUGAACAUGAAGUGAGGCUUGUUCUGGAAAUGACCUCAUAAGUAAAAUAUUUUACCAUGAAUAUAAUGAUAAAUGUAUAAAAGAAAAUAACAAAAAGUAUAUAUUUGAGCUAGGUUCAAAUUUGAAUUAACAUACAUAUUUAUUCAUUUCCAACAGAAAAAAUUGUAUGAAAUUAUCGGGCCCUAUAUUUUAUGUCAUAUUCAGUAGCAAAACUGACAGCAUAAUUAAGUUACAGAUAAACAAAGUUCUUUACAUACAAACAUUUAUUAUUGUUUUGUUUUAAAGACAAUACGUCAUUAUGCACAAUGUAAUGGUUCAAACUCUCAACACCAGCACCCACAAUUACACCAACACCAUCACAUUCAACUAUACCAACACCAACACCACCAGCAACAACCAAAUAACAUCGACACCAUAGUCCAAACAUGGACCUAUCUAUGAUACUUUAUCUGUUGCUCAUGCAUGCACAUGGCAAGCAGUACCUUCAACCUGUCAAGAGUUUAAAAAUGGCAAUAAAUAAAUCCUUUAAGUGGGCCAUUUGUCUUUGCAGUAUUUCCUGACAAUCUUUUUUUCCCCCUGAACAAUAAUUUAGAGAUGACAUAAGAGCAGCUAGCAUGAAAGUUCCUGUCAUAAAAUCUGUCUUUGCAUUCAUCUCUUUUAUGACUCUACUUGACCUAAUUACAUGAUAUAAUGGGGCUACUAAAGAACUCAAUGAUACUAUCCCUGUAUGGAGGGAAUAUUUUAUUAAGUUGGCAAAAAGUGGGUUAUGAGUUUUAUAUAAAUCCAUAUGUGAUAACAUGGCUCCACUUUGUGUCUUGUCAUAUAAUCCCUGCACUUUUUUUCUUUUCUAUUUAUGUGUUUGUGGCCUUUUUAUGCGACAUUUUAUUUUUGUCCAAAGCAAUGACUCACGUGUCUGCUGAAUGCUGAUCGAUGUACUGUUUAGUAUCUUCCAGCUGGACCGGGUGUUUCAUCAACAUUACUUUUGUCUGAAAGUUAUAAGAUUGUACAACUUUACUUGAUUUUUAUUGUCUGAGAAGCCCAUAGGACCAACUUUGUCCUGGCUUAACCCAAUCUGUUUCUUCAAACUGCUUGUAAAGUUGUGCAUAAAAUUAAGAAUAACUGGAACAUGAAGUAGCAAAAUAGCCUUCAUUGUUUUCAUACAAUUUUGACGAUGCAUUCAACAAAUUGCUCAAAAAUAUGAUUUCAUGCACAAAUCCAAUGCAAAUUCUAUUUUUGCAAAAAUUCAUAGUUAACAUUAUUUUACCUCUUCUGAUUAAAGUAUAUUGAUGUAAUCUUGUUUAGGAUUGUAAAUGUAUUGCUUACAAUUUCC